AAUGAUACCCAGGUAGUCCACGCCGUAAACGUUGGAUACUAGGUGUGGCGGGUCUUACCAACGACUGCCGUGCCGAAGCUAACGCAUUAAGUAUCCCGCCUGGGGAGUACGGCCGCAAGGCUAAAACUCAAAGGAAUUGACGGGUCCCCGCACAAGCGGCGGAGCAUGCGGCUUAAUUCGAUGCAACCCGAAGAACCUUACCUGGGUUUGACAUCACGGGAAAAGCUGUAGAAAUGCAGUGUCCAUUAGGGCCCGUGACAGGUGGUGCAUGGCUGUCGUCAGCUCGUGUCGUGAGAUGUUGGGUUAAGUCCCGCAACGAGCGCAACCCUUGUCCUAUGUUGCCAGCGGUUCGGCCGGGGACUCAUAGGAGACUGCCGGGGAUAACUCGGAGGAAGGUGAGGACGACGUCAAGUCAUCAUGCCCCUUAUAUCCAGGGCUGCACGCAUGCUACAAUGGCCGGUACAACGGGCAGCGAUCCCGCGAGGGUGAGCGAAUCCUAAAAAGCCGGUCCUAGUUCGGAUUGAAGUCCGCAACUCGACUU
rnacentral:rRNA from 1 species